GAUGAACGCUAGCUACAGGCUUAACACAUGCAAGUCGAGGGGCAUCAGGAAGAAAGCUUGCUUUCUUUGCUGGCGACCGGCGCACGGGUGAGUAACACGUAUCCAACCUGCCCUUUAUUCGGGGAUAGCCUUUCGAAAGAAAGAUUAAUACCCGAUGGCAUAAUGAUUCCGCAUGGUUUCAUUAUUAAAGGAUUCCGGUAAAGGAUGGGGAUGCGUUCCAUUAGGUUGUUGGUGAGGUAACGGCUCACCAAGCCUUCGAUGGAUAGGGGUUCUGAGAGGAAGGUCCCCCACAUUGGAACUGAGACACGGUCCAAACUCCUACGGGAGGCAGCAGUGAGGAAUAUUGGUCAAUGGGCGCUAGCCUGAACCAGCCAAGUAGCGUGAAGGAUGAAGGCUCUAUGGGUCGUAAACUUCUUUUAUAUAAGAAUAAAGUGCAGUAUGUAUACUGUUUUGUAUGUAUUAUAUGAAUAAGGAUCGGCUAACUCCGUGCCAGCAGCCGCGGUAAUACGGAGGAUCCGAGCGUUAUCCGGAUUUAUUGGGUUUAAAGGGAGCGUAGGUGGACUGGUAAGUCAGUUGUGAAAGUUUGCGGCUCAACCGUAAAAUUGCAGUUGAUACUGUCAGUCUUGAGUACAGUAGAGGUGGGCGGAAUUCGUGGUGUAGCGGUGAAAUGCUUAGAUAUCACGAAGAACUCCGAUUGCGAAGGCAGCUCACUGGACUGCAACUGACACUGAUGCUCGAAAGUGUGAGGUAUCAAACAGG
rnacentral:rRNA from 1 species